UUUUUUUAAUUUGGUUCUCAUUCUUUUCAUUAUAGUUUCUUUCAGUUUUAUUUAUUUUCUUAAUUGAUUUUUUUUAGGUUCAUCCCUCAUUGUUUGAUUUUAUUUGAUUUUCAUGCCAAAUUUUAUCCUCAUUUUUUCAAUCUUGGUUUUUAAUUAAACCGAAUCAGGGGGUUGAUCUUAGGCAAGUUCAAGGUCCCAGAUUGAG
rnacentral:lncRNA from 1 species